GCCCAGGUGGCUCAGGGGUAGAGCACUCCCUUGGUAAGGGAGAGGUCGUCAGUUCAAUUCUGAUCCUGGGCACCA
rnacentral:tRNA from 2 species